UACGGAGGAUGCAAGCGUUAUCCGGAUUUAUUGGGUUUAAAGGGUGCGUAGGCGGGAUAGUAAGUCAGUGGUGAAAUCUUGCAGCUCAACUGUAAAAUUACCAUUGAUACUGCUGUUCUUGAGUAUAGUUGAGGUAGGCGGAAUGUGCCGUGUAGCGGUGAAAUGCUUAGAUAUGACACAGAACUCCGAUAGCGAAGGCAGCUUACCAAACUGAAACUGACGCUGAGGUACGAAAGCGUGGGGAGCGAACAGG
rnacentral:misc_RNA from 1 species